rnacentral:rRNA from 1 species
UCCAGGGCGAGUCCCACGCCCUCCAGAAACAUGGCGACCGACUCGCGACGCAAUACAUCCUUUUGCAAAUAAAUGCGUUUAAAUAUUAGAUUCACUCUAUUCUGCAUCCGUCAGCAAAUAACGUCGCAUAUUUCGCCAGCGUUUGUAUUACUCGUCUGGAAUAGACAUCACACUUUCCCCCUUGCUUUUAUAAGCUUUAUGGUUUUUAUUUCCUUAAUUAACCAGAGUUAAUAAAAAUAAUUAAAUUAAUUAAAAACACAACCAUUCAGUGAAGAUAGUCACAUCUCAUGGUUCAUUGAAUUUAUUAGUAUGCGCGGGUCUUGUUACCCAUCAAUACACAGGAAAAUGUAUAUGACCAACAUGACCCAGGCUUCGGCGACGGAGAAAAAGGGGGCUAGCGAUUUACUCAGAUUCAAAAUCUUUGGUAUGCCGCUACCGCUUUAUGCCUUUGCAUUAAUUACUUUAUUACUUUCUCAUUUUUAUAAUGCUAUACCGACUGACUUAGUAGGUGGUUUUGCCCUUAUGUUUGUGAUGGGGGCCAUUUUUGGUGAAAUCGGCAAACGUUUACCGAUCUUCAAUAAAUAUAUUGGCGGCGCACCGGUUAUGAUAUUUCUGGUUGCAGCUUAUUUUGUCUAUGCUGGCAUAUUUACGCAGAAAGAAAUUGAUGCGAUCAGCAACGUAAUGGAUAAAAGCAACUUCCUUAACCUGUUUAUCGCAGUGUUGAUCACAGGCGCGAUCCUGUCGGUAAACCGUAAGCUGCUAUUAAAAUCACUGCUGGGCUAUAUCCCAACCAUCCUCGCCGGGAUUGUCGGCGCGUCCCUUUUCGGUAUCGUCAUUGGUCUGUGCUUCGGUAUCCCGGUCGACCGUAUCAUGAUGCUGUACGUUCUGCCGAUUAUGGGCGGUGGUAACGGCGCGGGCGCCGUGCCUCUGUCUGAAAUUUAUCACUCGGUUACCGGACGUUCUCGCGAAGAGUAUUACUCAACGGCUAUUGCUAUUCUGACCAUUGCGAAUAUCUUCGCCAUUAUUUUCGCCGCCCUCCUCGAUAUGAUAGGCAAAAAAUACACCUGGCUUAGCGGUGAAGGCGAGUUGGUUCGUAAGGCUUCCUUCAAAACCGAAGAUGAUGAAAAGGCCGGUCAGAUUACCCAUCGUGAAACGGCGGUUGGCAUGGUGCUAUCCACCACCUGCUUCCUGCUGGCCUAUGUUGUUGCCAAGAAAAUUCUGCCAAGCAUCGGCGGCGUCUCUAUUCACUACUUCGCCUGGAUGGUCCUGAUUGUUGCUGCGCUGAACGCAUCAGGUCUUUGCUCACCGGAGAUUAAAGCCGGGGCGAAACGUCUUUCUGACUUCUUCUCCAAACAGCUACUGUGGGUGCUGAUGGUAGGUGUGGGUGUUUGCUACACCGAUCUGCAAGAGAUCAUCGAUGCCCUGACGUUCGCGAACGUAGUUAUCGCCGCAAUCAUUGUGGUCGGCGCAGUCGUUGGCGCAGCUAUCGGGGGCUGGUUGAUUGGCUUCUACCCGAUUGAAUCAUCCAUUACUGCGGGUCUUUGUAUGGCCAACCGCGGCGGCUCCGGCGAUCUGGAAGUGCUCUCCGCCUGUAACCGUAUGAACCUCAUUUCAUAUGCACAAAUUUCCUCUCGUCUGGGCGGCGGUAUUGUGCUGGUUAUCGCUAGCAUCGUGUUCAGCAUGAUGGUGUAAAAAAACGCACGGCGGUGUCUUGGCAGCAAACGACCUGGAGAAAAGUAGAGGCCAAAGCCAGAGGUGGCCAAGGGAAAUCCACUCUACUCCUUAGCCGGAUUCACCAGGAAGGUUGUCGUCAAGGCCACCGUCGUGCCUCUCAUUAUGGAAAAUGAUUCAUGAACGAAGCUGUACUACUGGGUGAAGGUUUCACCCUGAUGUUUUUAGGGAUGGGGUUCGUACUGAGCUUUCUGUUCCUGCUCAUCUUUGCCAUUCGCGGCAUGUCUGCCGUGAUUACUCGCUUCUUCCCGGAACCCGUCGCCGCGCCCGCACCGCGCGCCGUUCCCGUCGUGGACGACUUCACCCGCUUAAAGCCGGUGAUUGCCGCCGCCAUUCACCAUCACCGCCACCACGUUUAAUUUCCCGGAGGGAUCCAUGACCAUUGCCAUUACCGACGUCGUCCUGCGUGACGCCCACCAGUCUCUGUUCGCCACCCGCCUGCGCCUUGAUGACAUGCUGCCGAUUGCCGCCGCGCUCGAUGACGUGGGCUACGGGUCGCUGGAGUGCUGGGGCGGCGCCACCUUUGACGCCUGUAUCCGCUUUCUCGGCGAAGACCCGUGGCUGCGCCUGCGCGAACUCAAAAAAGCCAUGCCCAAAACCCCGCUGCAGAUGUUGCUGCGCGGCCAGAACCUGCUCGGCUACCGCCACUACGCCGAUGACGUGGUGGAGCGCUUCGUCGAACGCGCGGUGAAAAACGGCAUGGAUGUGUUCCGCGUCUUCGAUGCCAUGAACGACCCGCGCAAUAUGAAAGCCGCCCUGCAGGCAGUAC